ensembl:lncRNA
CGCGCCCCGCAGCGCCGCAGGACCGCGGAUCAGACCCCGCUGCUUUUAAUGUUUUUGUUUUCUGAUUUCUAUUUUCUUAUUUAUUUUAUUUGAUCAUUCUUUAUUUUGUUUUCUUUUCCGCAUAUCCGGAACUUUGCACCGCGGGGACGGAGCGGAGGGGCCAAGAACAAGGAAUGCCUCAUCGCGCUGGGCUGCUGCAGCCUGGAGCCGCUGUCAUUAAACACCGGCUGUUGUUAAUGAAGGUGGCCGCGCGCAUCCACCUGCGCUGAGCUGCGGAGGUGGGGGGAGGAGGGGGGGGAUGUCCCGGCAGGACCCCCCUCUGUCGGGGUUUGCGGCAGAGAUGGGGGCGAGAGCUGGGGAUGCGCUCAGAGCUGGCGGGUACUGCUGCCAAAAGGAGGGAGCAAAUGAAAGGAAAACUUCCCUGCUCCUCUGCCUCCCGCUUAUUCAUUUAUUUUAACCUUCGGUGGGGAAAAAAUCACAGAGCUUUUUUGCAUCCAAACACUUAUCGUUGGGUUUGAAGCCUUGGAAGUUCCGCCAAAGCGGCUGCCCGGGGUCUGGGAAAUGGCAGUUGACAAUUAAAAGACGCGUGUAAUAAAUGAUAGGUAAUGAAGUCAUCCCAAAAUAACUGUGUGUCAGAGAUGGGAGUUUCUGGUUUUACCUGUGGCUUUGCAGAGAUUUCUGCACAGAACGAUCAGAGCCUCAAUAAAUUAAUUUUGAAAUGCUAAUUGGCAAUAUGGAAGAAUAUCGAUUUUUAAGGUGAACUUUGUUGUUUUGUGUUCAAAUGCAUUUGCUCCAAGACCAGAACUCUGUCUGCUUUCACCCAGGCUUCUUUUCUUGCCAUAUUCCUAUACCCUAUGGGGGAGAAAGAGAUCCCCUUGAAUUGCUGCAGAGGGUGACAGUGAUUUCUGAAGAAUCCUCCAAAGAGUGAGCAAAGAGCACUGAAAACAGAUGCAGAAAGCUAUUUGCAUGGGUAUGUGCACCUGUGUGUGUCUGUGUGUGUGUUUGGUAGAGUGUGGUGUUCCUGCAAAUAGAUAACUCUUUGAGAGAUUUCUUCACAGGUCAAUGGUAAACAGACUUCAUCUGUACGUUGGAAUACUCAUUCCUUUAUUUUUCAGUAGGUCUUCAACUUUCCUUUAUUUUUCCACCAUGUAUUCCCACCCAUCUCUGAAUCUGCCGACUCGUGCUGCCUGUUAUUUACCAGUGGCUUUUUGUGACCUCUGGUUUUGCUCUUGAUUGUCUUUUUCUUCUUCCUCCUUGCCAAGAAAUCUUUGUCUCUCUGAAUUCUCCCCAAAGUACGGUUCUUCUUUUGUUUUUUUUUUUUUUUCCCCAUCCUUCGGCAUUCAAUUUUUUAACUUUGGAAAUCACAGGAAAAUAUAGUAAUGAGGAUGGAAUAGUAUUUCCAUUCCAUAGUGGCUGGAUGAUUAUUCACUACUAGUAGCAUGUAAACCUGGAAACCUGUAAAAUAUUGAGUUAAUUUGACACACGUGGAAUUCACGCCACAUAUCAUUGCAUCAUUUGAGUUGAAAGGGAACUUUAAAGGUCCUCUAGUCCAACUCGCCUGCAGUGAGCAAGGACAUCCACAGCUCGAUCAGAGCCCCAUCCAGCCUGACCUUGAGUGUGUCCAGGGACGGGGCAUCCACCACCUCUCUGUGCAACAAUGCUGGUGCCUCACUGCCAUUAUUCUCCCCUCUAGAUACUGUAAAGCCCCUCUCAGGUCUCCUCAGAGUCUUCUCCAGGCUGAACAGUCCCAGCUCUCAGCCUGCCAUUGUAGAAGAGGUGUUCCAUUCCAUGGAUCAUUUUUGUGGCCCUCUUCUGGACGUGCUCCAAAGGAUCCAUGUCUCUCCUGUACUGAGGACUCCAUAUCUGGACACAGUACUCCACGUAAACAAGAUUAGGAUUUUAGGCUCACAUCCGUUAUAUUGGCACACUUUCUGUACCCUGGAAGAUUUAUCAACUCCUUACAUGCCUAGACUAAAGGAACCCCAUUUCUGCGGUCUUCCUUCAUGGAUAAUGCAUUCUGAGUCCUCUUCUCCAUCUUGCUGUUUGCUGCUGUGUGAUUUCCACAGUGACUACCGGUGUUUUGGAGGAUGGUGUUGAAGACUGCUUCAGCUGCACUUUUCUGGGGAGCAAGGAGGCAAUCCCUACCCAGAUCUUGCCUGCAAAAUUCUUGACUGCAGGAGGCGUUCUUUUCCUUCCUUUCUGAAUUACCAUUGGAACAGUACAGUUGGAAGGAACCCACAAAGAUCAUCGUGUCCCUGCUGCCUGACUGCUGGAGGGCUAACCAAAAGUGAAAGCACGUCAUUAGUAAGGGCAUUAUCCAAACUUCUUGAAUGCAGAAGCCUUGUAAGAUUGAACAGCCCCAAGUGUCUCAGCCUUUCUUAUAAGGGAGAUGCUCCAGACUCCUCGUCAUCUGUGUGGCUCUCUACUGGACUCUCUCCAGCAGUUCCCUGUCUUCCUUGAACUGGGAGCUCAAAAGCUGUUGUUUUCAAGAAAUUAAUGAGUUUGAAAAUGAAAAUAAAUUCCUCACUGAAUAUUUGUUACACUGUUGUCAGUUUUUCAGAAGCUUCAAUGUUCAGAUUCUUUAACAGUAGGGGAAAUCUUCAAAAAGCAAAUAGGUUUUUUAAAAGACAGAUAUAUUUGGAAAAUUUAUGUCUUAUUUUUUCUUUUUCUUUUUCUUUUUUUUCCCUUUUUUUCUUUUCUUGUAGUGCCAUGGGAAAUAGCGGGAGGCAAUAUGAGAUGUUUUAGCUAUAAAUGUCUGUCUUAUGAACAUCUUACUGAAGAUGCUAUGAGCUUCUUAGACAUAUAGACUAAGAAGUGCCAUCCAGAGGAGGUCCAUGUGCAAAAUUUAGCAUUCUAAUUUCUGAUCUACAUGUAAAUAUUCCCUGGAAAAUGUAUAUACAUUACAAUAAUUUGUAAAAGCAGGCUUGUUGUGUGUGGCAGAUUUACUGUGGAUACUACUGUUUCUCUGAAAUAGUGCUACAACUGAAAACGCAACAUCAAAAUUGAAGCAGAAGACGGCUAGCAUUUGGAUCCCAAACUGAUUUGAAAGUGUCACAUGGUCUGGAAUGUCUUUUUCAGUGUUUUUUGUUUUUUUUUUCCACUGUGCUACUGGAUCUUCUAGUACAGCAGCAAACUGAUCUACUUGCGCGAAUAGUUUCAAAGUCACAGGGUUUUAGAAAGCACCAAUGAUACCUAGUAUUGUUGCUGUAAUUUCAGAAAUGUUAUAAGUCAGGGUUUUUCUUCAUCAUUAAAACAUGUUCUGUUGUUAAGUUAGAAGAAUACUACAGGAUGUGGAUCCUGUUGUUUGGAAAACAAGGAAUUGAGGUGUGAGAAAUUAAUGGAAAUUCACAUUUACAGGAAAAAAAAAAGCCUAGUUUCUGGAAUGGUACUGGAAAUUGUUUGCUGAAUGGUUGUUAAGAAGUUUAAUGUUUCCUGUAUGUUAGUCUGUCUUUAGACCUGAAAAUAAUGUUGUCUGCUUUUUUAUUUAUAUGUGACAAGACUUAGAAGUAUCUUUGAUUCAUGAGCAGAAACAGCAGAAAGAAGAUGAUAAAGAAUAACUCUGGUUAUAAAUUAAAGUUAAUAGACUUUUUUUUUCUUUUAAACCCACAUCUUUUGUUAACAGAAUUUUUUCUGCAUUGUUACUGAUGCCUUCAUGCCUGAGAAGUUUUAUUUGCCUGUGUGCAAAUGGAGCAACUGUAUGAAAUUAAAGUAAAAUGCUGCUCUAACUUAGCUGUUAGGUUGCAAAGUUAGCACACUGAUUUUUUUCUUCUGGUACAUGUUCUUUUUAUAAAGGAACUUUAUCUUGUGGCUAUUGAUAUAUUGCAGAUGUAAAUUUUAUUAGACAGUAUAGGAAGAAAAUAAUAGAAUCUAUGAACAGGCAGUCACUAUCAGCAAAUUCUAUUAGCAAACAGAUAAAUUUCAAGCCAGCUUAUUGUUUUUUAGAGAGGUUUUGAUUAUUUCAGGAGACCAAAAUUGACUUAGGUAAGAUUAUCCUCAUCACUUAGAUUGAAAGAGAGUACUUUGCACUGACUAGAAAAGGAUGUAAAGUUUUACGUAUGUGUUUUUGUAUGUGUCCUGAUUCACAAGCAAAACAAUGAGCACUAGGCACAAUAAGAUGUAAAUAACCCUGUCAGGUCUUGGUGGCAAGUGUCAGUCUUCUCCUAGAGCUGGGUAGUGCACACACCCUCCACAGCACUAUUUAAUGUCACAGUCAAGACACCUCCAGAUGCCAGUAAAAUGUCAGGACGUCUUAGUCCUUUUAGGAAAACUAAUUUAUUGAACACUGCUGUAGGACAAUAUAUAGGAAAUAUAUGCCAGGAAAUAACUGGUACUGGAAACAGACAAAAGCAGUGAGAAAAGGUAAAGGAGGUGGAUGUUGACACAGGUUCCCGGUAUAGACUAGAUAGAUGAGAGUUAUAAACUGGAGGCAGUAUCACUAUCUCACCUGUGCUGCCACUGCAGCUAGUUAAUGAGGUAAUUUCAUAUAUUCUUUGAAUGCAAAACAGAAUAGAAGCAUUACUGUUGAAUUUUCUUUAAGGCUCAGGCACCUGCUCAGUGCUUUGUGCAUGCUGCUGCCAACAGUUUACAUUAUAGAAGUACCACUGUUUUGAUCAAUUGCUUGUUGUCCUAAUAAGGGUGCAUACAACCUCUGCUUUGCAAGAGUACUACAAAAUAAACAGCUUUUUGAAUCCAACAAAUCUCAGUUUUAAAAGCUUUUGUAAAUCAAUUUGGUUAUGUCAUAUAGUUUCAUUGGAAAAUGUGAAAACAACACUUGUUACUGUGAGCUAAGCUUGCAAAGGGCAGCAUGCUAUUAUUUUUACAGGCCAAUACGUUCCAUUUUCAGUUCCUGGGGCUAGCAAUUGGGUUUGAAUGACAAAUAUUUUGCACAUGACCGUGUAGGUGCAUAAGUGUUCAGCUACAGGCGUAGGGGCCCAAGGACACACACAGUCCUGCAGGGCUCUUGAAUGUCCCUGCAACCUUUGACUGAAGGCUUCAUUUGCCCAGUUCCAAGUUUCUGGUGCCUGACUGAGCCCUGGUACUGGGGUACUGGCCCCUAGUCCUGUUCCCGGUUAUUCACUGAGUUUCCUGACUGGACUUUGGCCAUGACUUGUCACCAACCAGUUCUACUUGCCUGCCACUAGGUCAGUGACAUCACCUGUGGGUGCAGGCAGCACCCAAACCUCACAACAAG